AAUAAAAUAUGAACAUGCAAAAGAGAUUGAUUCAAUUGACGAGAAGAAAACAAUGGAUGAAUGGAGUUUUUGGGGGUUUACAAUUUCAUCUUAUCCGCUCUCUCUUAUUUACUCCUCUUGAUUUAUUAGCUUGAUUAACUAAUUGUCAUGCAACUUUCUUAGCCUACCCUUANCUUAUCCGCUCUCUCUUAUUUACUCCUCUUGAUUUAUUAGCUUGAUUAACUAAUUGUCAUGCAACUUUCUUAGCCUACCCUUAACCCGAUCCCUCGGCGAAAAGAGCCUAUUACUAAUUACUGGCUUGCUAUCCCUAGCCUCCCU
rnacentral:lncRNA from 1 species